AACAGGGUGCAAUCAAAGGCUUGUGCAAUGGGGGAGGGCUUGGCAUGCAAUUAUCCCUCUCCAUUCCAAGGCUACAAAUACAAGCCAUAAACGGCGUCACUAAAAAAGACAAAACCUCUUAAAAGCCUAAAUGCUUCAACAGAGAAAAAAAGAAAAGGGGAAGCCUAGAAUGCUUCUGCAGAUUGAAAAGGGGAAAAAAAAAGGGAUAAGAGGGAGAUGGGGAGACGAUGCCCAUAGCGUGUCGGUCUUAGCCGAUUUCAGCUUUCAUCGGCGUUCGAUGCCUCCGCCUCUGCCUCCGCCAUGGCACCAAUCUGAAACCCCCAAAGCACAGGUACAGUAAGACUCAAAGAGGUAGAGUUGGGUUAGGAGAUCUCUUAUCUCAUCACAUCCUCAAGAGCUUCAAUAGUAGGUACCAUAUUUUGAAUUAAAAUGGCAUGUACAUAGGUAGAUCAAAUGUGUUUUCGUGUGUUAGGGACUAAAAUAUAAACUCUUGAAACUCUAUCUAUUUUGGGUUACUUAAAUUAUUUUGGUAUAUAUGAAAUGAAGUAGUGAAACUAUAA